AUGGGUGUGAUGAUUAUUUCCCCAGAUGAUCAAAGCUGAAAUUGCUGAGUGCUUUUCAUGUAUUUUCUCCUUUCAGGGUGGAAAUCCAAGCCAGAUAUUCUGAUCCAU
rfam:Capsicum annuum cultivar Zunla-1 chromosome 12, whole genome shotgun sequence